rnacentral:rRNA from 1 species
UACAGAGGGUGCAAGCGUUAAUCGGAAUUACUGGGCGUAAAGCGUGCGUAGACGGUUAUGUAAGUCAGGUGUGAAAGCCCCGGGCUCAACCUGGGAAUUGCAUUUGAGACUGCAUAGCUAGGGUGCGGAAGAGGGAAGCGGAAUUUCCGGUGUGAGCGGUGAAAUGCGUAGAUAUACGGAAGGAACACCAGUGGCGAAAGCGGCAUUCCUGGUCCAGCACCGAACGUUCAGGCACGAAAGCGUGGGGAGCAAACAGG